rnacentral:rRNA from 1 species
CAGCCGCCGCGGUAAUACGUAGGGUGCGAGCGUUGUCCGGAAUUGCUGGGCGUAAAGAGCUCGUAGGCGGUUUGUCACGUCGUCUGUGAAAUCCUAGGGCUUAACCCUGGACGUGCAGGCGAUACGGGCUGACUUGAGUACUACAGGGGAGACUGGAAUUUCUGGUGUAGCGGUGGAAUGCACAGAUAUCAGGAAGAACACCGAUGGCGAAGGCAGGUCUCUGGGUAGUAACUGACGCUGAGGAGCGAAAGCAUGGGUAGCGAACAGGAUUAGAUACCCCUGUAGUCCCUGUCUCUUAUAC